rnacentral:rRNA from 1 species
GAUGAACGCUAGCGGCAGGCCUAAUACAUGCAAGUCGAACGGUGUCUUCGGACAUAGUGGCGCACGGGUGCGUAACACGUAUGCAACCUACCUUACGUUGGGGGAUAGCCUUUCGAAAGGGAGAUUAAUACCGCAUAAGACAGCAGCUGGGCAUCCAGCAGCUGUUAAAGGUUUAUCGAUGUAAGCUGGGCAUGCGUCCAAUUAGCUAGUUGGUGAGGUAACGGCUCACCAAGGCAAUGAUUGGUAGGGGAACUGAGAGGUCAAUCCCCCACACUGGCACUGAGAUACGGGCCAGACUCCUACGGGAGGCAGCAGUGGGGAAUUGUGGACAAUGGGGGAAACCCUGAUCCAGCCAUUCCGCGUGUGCGAUGAAGGCCUUCGGGUUGUAAAGCACUUUUGGCGGGAAAGAAAUCGGUCGGGAUAAUACCCUGAUCGGAUGACGGUACCCGCAGAAUAAGCACCGGCUAACUACGUGCCAGCCGCCGCGGUAAAAC